rnacentral:rRNA from 1 species
ACGGCUCAGUAACACGUAGUCAACCUAACCUAUGGACGGGAAUAACCUCGGGAAACUGAGAAUAAUGCCCGAUAGAACACUAUGCCUGGAAUGGUUUGUGUUCCAAAUGAUUUAUCGCCAUAGGAUGGGACUGCGGCCUAUCAGUUUGUUGGUGAGGUAAUGGCCCACCAAGACUAUUACAGGUACGGGCUCUGAGAGGAGUAGCCCGGAGAUGGGUACUGAGACACGGACCCAGGCCCUAUGGGGCGCAGCAGGCGAGAAAACUUUGCAAUGUGCGAAAGCACGACAAGGUUAAUCCGAGUGAUUUGUGCUAAACGAAUCUUUUGUUAGUCCUAGAAACACUAACGAAUAAGGGGUGGGCAAGUUCUGGUGUCAGCCGCCGCGGCAAAACCAGCACCUCAAGUGGUCAGGAUGAUUAUUGGGCCUAAAGCAUCCGUAGCCGGCUCUGUAAGUUUUCGGUUAAAUCUGUACGCUCAACGUACAGGCUGCCGGGAAUACUGCAGAACUAGGGAGUGGGAGAGGUAGACGGUACUCGGUAGGAAGUGGUAAAAUGCUUUGAUCUAUCGAUGACCACCUGUGGCGAAGGCGGUCUACCAGAACACGUCCGACGGUGAGGGAUGAGAGCUGGGGGAGCAAACCGGAUUAGAUACCCGGGUAGUCCCAGCUGUAAACUAUGCAAACUCAGUGAUGCAUUGGCUUGUGGCCAAUGCAGUGCUGCAGGGAAGCCGUUAAGUUUGCCGCCUGGGAAGUACGUACGCAAGUAUGAAACUUAAAGGAAUUGGCGGGGGAGCAC